UACGUAGGUGGCGAGCGUUGUCCGGAUUUACUGGGCGUAAAGGGCGUGCAGGCGGUUUGUUAAGUGCAGGGUGAAAGCUCCCGGCUCAACUGGGAGAGGUCCUUGCAUACUGGCGAACUCGAGGGAGGCAGAGGAAAGUGGAAUUCCCGGUGUAGUGGUGAUAUGCGUAGAUAUCGGGAGGAACACCUGUGGCGAAGGCGGCUUUCUGGGCCUUACCUGACGCUGAGAAGCGAAAGCAUGGGGAGCGAACAGG
rnacentral:rRNA from 1 species